UCACUUAUUGAAUGUGGUGAAGGCUCUGAUAGAAGGAAGGUUUACAACACUUUUGCAUCUCAAAUCUCGCUGACAAUACCUGACUAUGGUUUGAUAGAGCUUACCGGGGAUGAAAGAGCUGAUAAGAAAAGUUCACUUGAUUCAGCGGCACUUCACAUGUUAUAUGAGCUAGAACGACAGGGAAAAAUAGCCAUUGGAAAUCAAUGAAUUGUCGUGAGUGUAAAUUCUUACAAUCUUGCUCUAAGGUGUAGAAAUUUUAGCAUUUUAGGUCUCUUCGGUAAGGGAAUCCAGAAAUUGCAGUGUAUAUUUGCAUUGAAAAGUAGUAACAGUCUUAAUAGUUGCGUAUCAGGCGGGCAUGGUUUCUGUUCCAGCCAUUAUUGGAAAUCCAAUUGAAAAUAGGGAUAAACUUUUUGAAGUGUAUAACGGGGAUCGUUCUUAUGUUUUCUAUUUAAACCUUGAUUUAACUUAUCUAUUGGGACUUCCUUUUUCAUCUGCAACACUUAUGUUACAAGUGAAACUUCAGGAUCGUGUCCUAGAGUUCAAAACCUGUACCUUGUGAACUCUAGGACGGUGUUUGAAGUUUAAUUUUUACAUUGUCUGAAGUUGGGUUCUUGCAGUUCUACAUUCUACUUUGUUGCCA
rnacentral:lncRNA from 1 species